rnacentral:rRNA from 1 species
UGGUGGCUAUAGCAAGGAGGUUCACCUCUUCCCAUUCCGAACAGAGAAGUUAAGCUCUUUAGCGCCGAUGGUACUGCCUUUAGGUGGGAGAGUAGGUCGCUGCCAAUUU